GACGAACGCUGGCGGCGUGCUUAACACAUGCAAGUCGAACGGAAAGGCCCUGCUUUUGUGGGGUGCUCGAGUGGCGAACGGGUGAGUAACACGUGAGUAACCUGCCCUUGACUUUGGGAUAACUUCAGGAAACUGGGGCUAAUACCGGAUAGGAGCUCCUGCUGCAUGGUGGGGGUUGGAAAGUUUCGGCGGUUGGGGAUGGACUCGCGGCUUAUCAGCUUGUUGGUGGGGUAGUGGCUUACCAAGGCUUUGACGGGUAGCCGGCCUGAGAGGGUGACCGGCCACAUUGGGACUGAGAUACGGCCCAGACUCCUACGGGAGGCAGCAGUGGGGAAUAUUGCACAAUGGGCGGGAGCCUGAGGCAGCAACGCCGCGUGCGGGAUGACGGCCUUCGGGUUGUAAACCGCUUUCGCCUGUGACGAAGCGUGAGUGACGGUAAUGGGUAAAGAAGCACCGGCUAACUACGUG
rnacentral:rRNA from 1 species